GGGAGCGCAGGAUCCUGGGCUGUGCCCCGCCGCGCCCUGGGCUCUGGGGCCUGCGCCGCUGGAAUCGCGCUCCUGGGUGGGCUCCC
rnacentral:pre_miRNA from 1 species